rnacentral:rRNA from 1 species
GAUGAACGCUGGCGGCGUGCCUAAUACAUGCAAGUCGAGCGAACAGACGAGGAGCUUGCUCCUCUUACGUUAGCGGCGGACGGGUGAGUAACACGUGGAUAACCUACCUAUAAGACUGGGAUAACUUCGGGAAACCGGAGCUAAUACCGGAUAAUAUAUUGAACCGCAUGGUUCAAUAGUGAAAGACGGUUUUGCUGUCACUUAUAGAUGGAUCCGCGCCGCAUUAGCUAGUUGGUAAGGUAACGGCUUACCAAGGCAACGAUGCGUAGCCGACCUGAGAGGGUGAUCGGCCACACUGGAACUGAGACACGGUCCAGACUCCUACGGGAGGCAGCAGUAGGGAAUAUUCCGCAAUGGGCGAAAGCCUGACGGAGCAACGCCGCGUGAGUGAUGAAGGUCUUCGGAUCGUAAAACUCUGUUAUUAGGGAAGAACAAAUGUGUAAGUAACUAUGCACGUAUUGACGGUACCUAAUCAGAAAGCCACGGCUAACUACGUG